UCGGCGAUGGACAUGCCAG
rnacentral:misc_RNA from 1 species